CCGUGCUUCCUUUGACUACUCCUGAGAUAUAGUGGAAACAUUUUGUUAUGGUGGAGAGUGGGGAGUGAAAAGACCAAUGCAGCAGAGAACGACUGCAUGAAUCGGAAUCCACUUAUUAAGACAGACGACCGAGAAAGAAAGGCUCCGCGUUCGAACAUUGGUUGAUCUUAGCUUAGCAUGCUAGCCGCUGCUUCAUUUCGUAUAGUGAUAACGCUUUCUCUUUCUUAGCGCUCCGCCCCCUUGUAUAAUAAGGGCUACUUUGAUUGCGCGUCUUUCUCUUAUAGGGUGACUUGACUCAGCUUGACCUACUUGACUCAGCGGUUAGAGUCUCGCUUUCAUACGGCGAGAGUCAUUGGUUCAAAUCCAAUAGUAGGUAAAACCGACCGAAACCCCUGCUUUUGCCAGCAUGACAGCAAGCACGGACUGGCAGCAAGGAGUCCAUUGAAUGAUCAAAGCAUCGGUUGCUUCCACUUGUGGCCUUACCAAGGAAACGGAUGCGCGUCCUAACUAUUAGCUUCACUAACGUAGCUUGACUAACUAGCUUCACUAACAUAGCUUGACUAAAUGAGUUUCAAAUGAGUUGAACAUAGUUCAACGAAUCCCUAUUCCCUAUGUCUUCUAGUCUAUAGCUUGUUCGCUUAACUAUCCGAAACCCCUACUUUUGCCAGCAUGACAGCAAGCAUGGACUGGCAGCAAGGAGUCCAUUGAAUGAUCAAAGCAUCGGUUGCUUCCACUUGUGGCCUUACCAAGGAAACGGAUGCGCGUCCUAACUAUUAGCUUCACUAACGUAGCUUGACUAACUAGCUUCACUAACAUAGCUUGACUAAAUGAGUU
rnacentral:lncRNA from 1 species